GAAUUAGCAUCAGAAACAGGCCGUUGUGCUGCACUCAUUCUGUCAAUUUUUGGUUCCAAAUCUUUAAGAAAAAUAAGUAAGUCUGAUUGUCCAGCAAUAGGUGGGUGUGAGCUAGAAGAACCAGCAUCAGUAUGCUGUCCUAUACCCUGUGAUUGCUGUUGCUCUGUACCCUCAUGUCCCCCAUUUACCAACACAUAAACAUCAACCCUCUUUACCCAAAUUUUCAUUUGAGUCAUAAUAAUUCUAUCUAGAAAAGACUAGCCAACCAUAGACACCAUAGCAUACUAGUCAGGGUUAAAACCAAAUGAUUUAACAAUCACAGUCACCUUCCCUCUAAUAACU
rnacentral:misc_RNA from 1 species